rnacentral:misc_RNA from 1 species
GAUGAAGAACGUAGCGAAAUGCGAUACUUGGUGUGAAUUGCAGAAUCUCGUGAACCAUCGAGUCUUUGAACGCAAGUUGCGCCCGAAGCCAUCAGGUUGAGGGCACGUCUGCCUGGGCGUCACAUAUCGUUGCCCAAUGCCUUUUGCAGUGCAAUAGGAAUUUCUAGGGCGAAUGAUGGCUUCCCGUGAGCGUUGUUGCCUCGCGGUUGGUUGAAAAUCGAGUCCUUGGUAGGGUGUGCCAUGGUAGAUGGUGGUCGAGUUAGAACGAUACCGAUCAUGUGCAUGCUCCCCAAAAUAUGGCCUCUAUGACCCACACGCGUCUUUUGACGCUCAUGACGAGACCUCAGGUCAGGCGGGGCUACCCGCUGAAUUUAAGCAUAUCAAUAAGCGGAGGA